GACAGAGGGUGCAAACGUUGUUCGGAAUUACUGGGCGCAAAGCGCGUGUAGGCUGCUUCGAAAGUCGGAUGUGAAAGCCCUGGGCUCAACCUAGGAAGUGCAUUCGAAACUUCGAAGCUGGAGUCCUGGAGAGGAAGGCGGAAUUCUCGGUGUAGAGGUGAAAUUCGUAGAUAUCGAGAGGAACACCGGUGGCGAAGGCGGCCUUCUGGACAGUGACUGACGCUGAGACGCGAAAGCGUGGGGAGCAAACAGG
rnacentral:rRNA from 1 species